rnacentral:tRNA from 1 species
GGGCCUGUCGUUCAAUGGACAGGACUUCCGGCUACGAACCGGACGAUGAGGGUUCGACUCCUUCCGGGCCCACCA